GCUUGGUUGGCUCAGUUGGUAGAGCGUUGGUCUCAUAUCGUAGAAUAUGACUGGUUCUCAGAAUCGGAAAUCCAAAGGUCGUGAGUUCGAGCCUCACACUGAGCA